CAAGCUAACUGAGAAAACAAAUACUUUCGGUGCUCAGCUAAGAGAAAACUCCAUUAUGGUGGCUAACAUCUCCAAAAUUGUGGAGAUAAAUGCAGCAGAGAUUAAAGAGUGUAAAGAAAAGAUUCAGGCAGUGAAAAAAGAAAUGCCUCGUCACAUCAAAGAAAAUGAGGAGCUAAAAAAAAAGGAUAACAGCUGGAGAGGUACAGGAGGCGCUGGAACCUCAAAGUACACGGCCUCAAAGAAAAAGAUGAACGCAUUCGAGACAUUAUCAUAGCGAACCUGUCCAAGAUUGAACCACAGAGGGCUUCAUUUAUGGAAAGCGUGGUUGACACCGUUCACCGCCUUGGGAAAAGAGAGGAGGGGAAGCAGUGCCAAGUCAUUGUGCAGUUCACCAUGAGACACCACCAGGAUGAAUUCUGGAAGCUGUCCAAGAACUGAAAAAUCUGCAAAGACUUGGGGAUUCACUUCAAACAAGAUUUCUGCAAAGCCGACCGAGAGGCUCGUGCGGCUGCGUGGCCAAAGAUGGAGCAAGCCCGGGCUACAGGAAAGAAUGUGUACUUGAGAGGUCAUGUAGGGUACAUUAAUGGCAACAGGGUGGCACUAGAUUAGAGAAUUUAUAAAGAGCAACAGACUAUGAGCCUCUCUCUCCCAGGUAUUUGAGCCUUCCUUUGGAAAAGGGGUUUAAAUCAUUUUCAGCACCUUCAUGUUCAGUGCUCUGCUCAGGGCUCUUGUUUACACUAUUACCCCAGGUUCCUUGUUUUAGGCAUCAUAGUGAUUAAAGGGAAAAAAAGAGGUUUAAUUUUUUACCCCGAACUAAUACUCUGGUGUUCCUUUUUGAUGUGUUUCAGAAUACAGUUUAAGCAGAAAUCUCAAAUCUCUAGUUGGUAUGUUAUAGUACCAUUAAAUGAUGUUAGGCUAUCUCAAUGUUUCUUUUUUGAUAAACAUUUUUAUAUUAUAUGAUCCUGUUAAAUGGAGGUUGGUGCACUUUACCUUAAACUAAGCUUGAAGGUUAUGCUUUAGGUACAUAUGUGCCUGACUUUACUCUUGUUUUCCCCAAGUUUACAUCAAUAUCUACAUCCUUUUAAUCGCUGAUAUAAAUAUAGACGGACAAAAUUGUGUUGCAAAUUUUUAUUACUUCAAAAAGUGUUAGAUAGGGGCAUUACUUGAGUGUUUAAUCUUGAACAAGUACACACUUCUCAGUUAAAUUUAAACCUUUUUUUUUUUUUGCCUUUUUUCAAUUCUAAAUUCUCCUGUAUUUCUCUAAAUGCUAGGGGCCUUAGAGACUCUAUUACAAGAAAAUCAACCUUCUUAUUCUGUAAAAAUGAAAAAGCACAAUGUGUUCUCCUACAAGAAACUCAUUCGAAUAACACUGAUGACAAUUCUGGUCAAAUCAAUGGGGUGACAGAAUUAUAUUUAGUCACGGCACAAACAGAUCAGCAGGUGUGGCCAUACUCUUAGACAACUUCCAUGGGAGAAUUUUGACCACUGGAUAAUUUGUGUUUUUGAAGCAAAUGAGGAUUUUCUAAUUCUAGGAAACAUUUAUGGAUACAACAAUCUUAACCAGAACAAAAAAAUGAUUUCCAAAAUCACAUAGUCAGUCAAGGAUCUCUACCAAAGGUAUCCUACCAAAAACCUUAUUUUUGGUGGCGAUUUUAAUAUGGCUAUGGAUGAGUGGCUUGGUAUCCUUCAAAAUAAUAAAAUCAUUCUUAUAAUCCUGUUUUGCUUGACUUUUGUGGUGUGUUUAAUCUGAAAGACACAUGGGCCCUCAUUUAUCAAGCUUGCAUACGGCAGAAAACUUGCGUACGACAAUUUUGACGUGAGGAUCGGCAUUUAUCAAUCUGCAUGUGAGCGUACGCUACGACCAAAUCUCACGACAGGUCUGACAUCGUGUACGCAAGUUUGAGUCAGUGUGGAUCUGCAGUGCAGCAAAUGUCUGUCUCAAAAUAAUUGAUAUACAAACCUCAAACCUGUCACUUAGCACUAUCAGACAGAUUUCAUUAAAGAUUAAGACGCAAAUAAAAUAAAAUAAAUUUUGAAUGUCCUUAGUGAAUAGGCCUAUUUGAUAACUCUGCCCAGAACCACAGCCACAGAGCAGGGGCCUAUUCUACGAAGCAGGAUUACUGCUUAGCGAGGUAACUUCGAGGGUAAGUUCGGGGUUUCCUGUUGUACGACGCGGGUUCACUUUUUAGUGAGGCGAGUCUCCAUGGCAACGUAAGCUGAACGGGUUCCAGAUUGAACUCACCGGGUAUAAAAACCCCACCUGAUGACAAAUGAGCUCUCUAAAAAAAUGGCUUGUCUGUUCUUGGAGGAUCCUAUAGACCUCGGUGCUCGCAUUGUCCGAGGAGCACUCCGGCGCGCGAGAGUUUUCAGGGACCGCACAGACCCACUUACUUUUCCAGAUGACCACCUUUAUGAAAGGCUCAUAUGGCCUACAUAUCACACAAAAAAAGUAAAGACGAUAGGAAUGAACAAAUGAAUGAAUUCAUCUUGGAAAUGAAUUAGACAUGUCUGGUGCAUGUUAAAAGCGCAUGUUGAACAGUGCUAUUUCAGGGUGAUAAUGGCAUCAAAAAAUUUUUGCGCACUAUACUUACGCAUUGAGACUGUUGGCAAUUUUCUGCCAGCAUUCCUUCCGUGCUUUUGCAGCGGCGACGGUGUUGCUUUUGAGGUUUAUGAUAGAUUUGAAUUCUUCAUACUUUCUCAUGAUCGUCUCCUGCUCCUCGUUUGUAAAGUACGCGGUCCUUCACUCUCCAGCCUGCUCUGAUGCUUCAGACUGGUCCAUGUUCGCGAUUGGUCAGAUGCGGCGGGCUCCGCCUUACAUGUGUGCACGCGCUCAUAGCAAAGCUGGAUAUACUUAUAACCAGCGCCGUAAGACCAUUUAGCGAAACCGCUGGCUACCACGCUAAGUUGAGCGAGGUAGCUCCAAGGCUACCUCGCUAAGUUGAACUUGCUUCGUAGAAUAGGCCCCAGGAGCACCGUUUUAACAUUGCGCACACACGCGCCACUGUGGAGCACUGCGUUUGACUCCUAAAAGGCAGGUGUCUCUCUCUUGGCCCAGCAGCAGGGACGUUGUUGUACACUCCUGAAAGGUUCUGUACAGAGGAGACAGGGCCUUAUCGAUGGAUUCUGAUGCAAAGUAUAAGUUUUAGAAAGUGCUCUUGCUAUUUAUUCAGUAAUAAAAAUCAAAUAGAAUUCCAUAAAAAAUGUGCCUCAGGGGCAGCAACACACCGUUUGGUGAGGUUAAGAAUUAUUUUUGUUCAGCCUCUGUCAGACUCUCCAGUCUGCUCUACAUUACAAAGAAGCAACAAAUUAAAACUAAAUACUUUCAAUAAUAGGAGCAACGUACCCUAUGUCAUGGCGAUAAAAAAAUAUGAGGCAUGUAUGAAAUAUUAAUUAAUCAUCAUGAGCAACUUAUUGACUAAUGAUUUACUCAAACUGCUGUCCGCUAUUCCGCAGCAGCGCUGUUCACCGCCACCAAUAAUCCUGCUCCAGACAGGAGUUUUCUGGAUUGCUUUUAUACCAGUUUUGAUGCUUCCAAAGAGAAAAUCCUUCUAAGUUUCCACCACAGAUGCGAGGAUAUCCACUUUCAGCUCGGAAAAGUUUCGCAUCUUUCUAAUAUUUCUCCUCUUUCAUGUUUGACCUCAGUGGGCGAGGCUUCUGAACCACGAAUAUUUAAGGGCGUAAACAUGUUAAUGAUGAUCGAUUUCAGCCGCCGCAUUUAUCAUUUAUCAUACGUACGCUGGGAUUGGUCAGAUACGAACCCUUUCAUACAUCUCACAUGUGUCCUAUCGUACAAUGAAUCCUGCACUCAGAUCUGCGCAAUGUUGAUAAAUGAGGGCCAUGGCGUUUUGAUAGUCUAGAUACCCAAACUUACACGUGGUUCUAACCAGAUGGUUUGACUGAAUCCAGAACUGAUUUUUGGUUGGUGUCAGAUAUUAGGCCUGGGCUUAACUCAACCUCUUCAAUUUCAGCUGCACCUUUAACAGAUCAUAGCACAAUUAAACUUAAUUUUAUAUCCUCAAACACACAUUUUAAAAAAGGGUAUUGGAAAAUUAAUUAAAAUUUUCUGAAAAAUGAACCUUUUUGUCAAAAAGUAAUUAAUGCUAUAAAUAAUGCAAUUACAGAUAGUAACAUUAAAACUAAAACUAGAGAGAAGUGGGAGUAUUUGAAACAUCAAGUACGCCAGAUUUCUAUCUCAACAAGAAAGACAAUAAGCAGGGAUAGUAAGAAAAAAGAACUGGAAAUCAUGAAAGAAAUCAACAGUAUCUGUAAUAAACCAUCUGCAAAUGAGAAUAGCAGACAAAAAAAUCAUUAGAUAACAUCUACAUUUCUAAAGCCAGGGGAGCUUAUAUUAGAUCGAGAGCAAAAUGGAUGGAAGAAGGAGAGAGGAGCUCAGCAUAUUUUUGUAGAUUGGAAAAGAGAAGACAAGAGUGGAAUGCUGUAAGAACUUUACUGAUAGAUAGUCAAGAAUGCACUGACCCAAAGUUAAUCUCUAAGGAAAUCUUCAAAUUUUACAGUAAAUUGUAUUCGUCCUCUUAUUCAUCCCCAGAUGCUGAUGCC
rnacentral:lncRNA from 1 species